rnacentral:rRNA from 1 species
AUGGUGACGUCAGGUGUCCAGCCAAUGGGAAGCUUUUGCAGCGCAGUAAGACCAUCCAUAACGCUGAACCCGGUCCAUACACCACACCAGUCUCCGCCGACCCCUUCAGCGACCGGCCGGAGCUCUCCUUCGUCGAGCUGCCGAGGGGCAGCCUGCUCCCUGCAGGCGCUCAGGAGGACCAAGCGCUCGGCCUAG